AUUGAACGCUGGCGGCAGGCCUAACACAUGCAAGUCGAACGAGUGGCGGACGGGUGAGUAAUGUCUGGGAAACUGCCUGAUGGAGGGGGAUAACUACUGGAAACGGUAGCUAAUACCGCAUACCAUCAGAUGUGCCCAGAUGGGAUUAGCUUGUUGGUGGGGUAACGGCUCACCAAGGCGACGAUCCCUAGCUGGUCUGAGAGGAUGACAACCAAACGUGGACCUGGGCAACGGUCCAGACUCCUACGGGGGGGAGAAGGGGGGAAUAUUGACCAAGGGGCGAAAGCCUGAUGCAGCCAUGCGGAGUGUAGGAGGAAGGCCUCGGGUUGUAAAGUACUUUCAGCGGGGAGGCGUUACCCGCAGAAGAAGCACCGGCUAACUCCGUGCCAGCAGCCGCGGUAAUUC
rnacentral:rRNA from 1 species